UACAGAGGUCCCAAGCGUUGUUCGGAUUUACUGGGCGUAAAGGGUGCGUAGGCGGAUUGAUAAGUCAGUGGUGAAAGCCUGUUGCUUAACAACAGAACUGCCAUUGAUACUGUUGAUCUUGAAUAUGUUUGAUGUGGGCGGAAUAUGACAUGUAGCGGUGAAAUGCUUAGAUAUGUCAUAGAACACCGAUUGCGAAGGCAGCUCACAAAACCAUUAUUGACGCUGAGGCACGAAAGCGUGGGGAUCAAACAGG
rnacentral:rRNA from 1 species